GGACAGUGGGAAUCUCGUUAAUCCAUUCAUGCGCGUCACUAAUUAGAUGACGAGGCAUUUGGCUACCUUAAGAGAGUCACAACACAGCAUCAGCACCCAAACAAACAACACAACAAAAUGAGGAAAAUGUGGUUAAAGAGAAAGUAAAUAGAAAUACAUGUGCUGAGGCAACUGUUGCAAAAAUGCAAGUGUAAGAAGAUAAUUGCAAAGCAGAAAUUUCACAAACAAUCGUCCCAAUUAUUGUCAGUGACGUAGAAAUAACUCAACCGUAAGUUUUUCUUUACUAAUUUACAGUUAAACAUGUAUUUUUAUUUUCUUUAUUUGUUAUGUAAUAAAAGUUUUCUUAUAAAAUAUAA